CCUACGGGAGGCAGCAGUGAGGAAUAUUGGUCAAUGGGCGCGAGCCUGAACCAGCCAAGUAGCGUGAAGGAUGAAUGCCCUACGGGUUGUAAACUUCUUUUAUAAAGGACUAAUGUGCGGCACGUGUGCCUUUUUGUAUGUCCUUACUGAAUAAGAAUGGGCUAACUACCUGCCAGCAGGCGGGGUAAUACAGAGGUACCGAGCGUUCUUCGGAUUUAUUGGGUUUAAAGGGAGCGUAGAUGGGUGGGUAAGUCAGUUGUGAAAGUUUGCGGCUCAACCGUAAAAUUGCAAUUGAGACUGGGAGCCUUGAGUGCAGUUGAGGUAGGCGGAAUUCGUGGUGUAGCGGUGAAAUGCUUAGAUAUCACGAAGAACUCCGAUGGCGAAGGCAGCCUACUAAACUGCCACUGACGUUGAUGCGCGAAAGUGUGGGUAUCAAACGGGAUUAGAUACCCUAGUAGUC
rnacentral:rRNA from 1 species